UUGGUUUAGUUUAUAAAUUUCUCUGGUCUCUAAAUAUCUGUCCUGGGUUGACAGUUCUUAUAUAUCAGUAUAGUUCUUAUAUGUUAGCUGUGGACAAGCCUUUGUUUAACUGUAACUUUUAUUUCAAUUUCCCAUUUACUUGUUUUUAUCCACCACUGAAAUUUAAGACCCAUGAUGGCAGUGAUCAUAUCUCUCUGAUGUGCUGCUUUAUUCCUGUCAUCUUCUUCAGUACCUGGUGAUAGGAGCCUUUUUGUAGGCAAUUAUUGGGUCAGUAUAACCAAGACUAUACAAUAACCUUAGCUAAGUUAUCAAAGAGAUUUCAGCAUUGAAGGGAAUGUUGAUUUUUUUAUGGAUGGGGAGGUGGAGACUCAGAGUGAUGACGAUGCUCACCAUGAAGAAAGAUGUGUCCCUGUCUGUGUUGCCAAAGAAAAGAACACAUUUUCUUUACAAAUACCCAGAGCAUAUAAAAUUGGAUUACUGGAUUUCAAUUCCACAUUUUUAAGGAUUCAUAAAAGGAAAACCAACCAGACACAGGGCUGAACCAGCAAAAUAUCAGGCGAUUUUAAAUGGUAGUUGAGAAAGUGUUUGGGGAGCAUUACAGCAGAAGGAAAGGAGGUGGUGCUGGUUGAGGAUUAGCUGAAGCAGCCAAGGGCAUUUACAACGUGGUUUUGGCUGAUGCAGCAAACACAGCUUGAACCAAAGUCAAGGACAGGGGAGGGAGGCAGGGGCUUAGAGAAAUUGCUGUACAAACCUCCAGGCAGCUACCGACAGUGAGAUCAAGACAUGUUUUUACUGAUAAGCAGGGCCAAUGCAAAGGUCAGAACUUUGAUCAUGAGAAAUUUUAAUUACUCAGAUAUUGAUCAGAACACCUAGGAACCAACUACAGAAGCGAAAGUUUGAGAACAGGGCUGGAUUUCUUAGAUUCACACUGGGGGUCUUGACUGCUCCUCCUAGCUGUGGCCAGUUGCUAUUCUAAACACAUCCUAGGAAAAAAGCCAACUAUGAUAAUGGGCUAGACUUUGGGGAAUGGCAGUGACCGCAAUAUUAUUAGACUUUAAAUGCUAAGUGGAAGAAACAUUAAAGGAAGUUGAUUUUGAAGGAACGUGUGGAAAGCCCUAAGGACCUUUGAUGGAAAUUUUAUAAUGUAAAGGGGAAGAAGAGAAGAAUAUUUAAAGGUGAAUUGAAGUGCUUCUUCAAAAUCAAUAAAGAAAAUUAAACCUCCUUAAUGAUCUCAGACCAAUAAUACAGUUUCAGAGCCAGGAUCUGGCCCCAUAUAUCAGGUGUCUCGCUGGCCUUUGGAAAUUGCUUUUGUGACUUUACACAUGUCUGGUUGAGUGAAUGGGCUUUUAUGUGGACCUUGGUUUUAGUGGGUAGUGUGGUAUCAACAAAGAUGCCCUAAUUUAUGUUCUCAAAAUCUUUUACCUGGACUUUGAAAUGUCCCCACAACUGUGCUCUCUUUCCCAUGCCUUGCCUCCCUUCACAUAUAUCUUCUGUAAAGACACUAGCUGUUUCUAAAAGACAGAUUUGAUAGUUUAAUCCUUUGUUGAACUCUCAUUGUCUUGUAUGGGGAAAACAAUUGUCUUAAAUUAGGUGUUCACUUACUUUGAUCUCAUUGUUUGCUGCCUUGCCCUUAUAUGAAUCCUGCACUCUAGCCAUUCUUAAAUCCAUUUUAUUUUGGAAUAAUCUUUUAUAAAAAAAACUUUUUACUUUAGAAUGAUCUUAGAUUUAUAGAAAAUCUGCAAAGAUAGAAUAGGGUUUACGUAUACCUCCACCUGUUUUUUCCUAUUCUUAGCAUCUUGCAUUACCAUGGUAGAUGUCAAAAUUAAGAAACAAAUAUUGGUACAUUACUAAUAAUUAAACCCUAUGCCUAAUGAGGAUUUCACUAUUUUCUACCCUAAUGUUCUUUUUUAUUCUGUUCCAGGUUCCUGUCUAGGAUACCACAUUGCAUGUAAUCAUCAUGUCUCCUUAUUCUCCUCUGUCUCUUCUUCAUAAUCAACAUGGCAUAAUCAGCAGGAUCCAGAGUGCCUGACCUCCAUCACUGGCAGUGCUGUGGAUUCAAUUAAGAUACCUACAAAAGUCCAUUGCUUUUUUUUUCUUCUCCGUGGCUUAUGGUCAUGUUGAUAGACAAGUGAAGUUAAGCCAUGCUUUCUCUCUAUGCCUUCAGCUUUUACUUCUGAAGACAAGCAGUUUUGAAUCUACUAUAGGUAAUUUCUGAAUAUCUUCUUUGUAUAUAUAUAUAAAAUACAACCAGUUAGAAGAUAUACUGCAUUUAUUUUUUUAUUAAAUAUAAUUUAUCGUCAAAUUGGUUUCUCAGUAUCUUCUUUUGAAAAGUAGAAGUGUCAAGGGAUGAGCUCUGAAACUUGGAUAAUGGGGAGGACUAAGUUUUCUGAAAAGAAAAUAGCUUUCUUUUCAAGGAGGGGAGAGGAUAGGUGUUAAAUGGAGCAUUAGAGUUAUUUGAUAAAUUUCCUGUCCCACAAGAACUUAGAGUGGACUAGGAAUAACCUGGUUUUCUCUCUGAACGAUAUGCAGGAUGAAUUUGGCACAGAGCAGUGAACAGAUACAAUUGGAAUAGAAAAUGAAGCUCUCACAGUGAUUUUGAUAUGUUUUAGACGUUUUUUGGGGGGGUAGGCAUUAUAUAAGCCUCUUUAUUCUUCUGGGAUUAUGGGGAGGGGAGAAGAAUCCCUAAUAAUAUCUGUAACUAACAUUUUACCACAUAAGCUUUCUUAAAUCUCUAUUUUUAAAGUACUUGAAAGUAUGGCUUUAAGGGUCAAAAAAUGUUAAAGAGUAGAUUGAAAAGUUUGAACCAUGAGUAUCAAAAGUCUACAUAUAAGAUGUCUUGGUGUCCACUGACUAUCAGCACAAGACUGUGUGCAGUGACUCCAUGAGCUCCACUGUCAUCUGCAUUUGGCAAAUGAGCCAAGUAAGGCUUGGAGUUGCUAGAUGACUUGUACAUGGCCACAUGCUGGUAGUGGAAGAAUAAAUUUAAUGCCAAGUCACAACACAAUGGCUUCUGAAAUGCUACUCAGAGGACAGUAGGGCCUAAUAAUCAAAUACCACUUGACCUGGGGAACAAACCUCCAAGCAGGAACUGUGUACUUCCUUUUAACUGGAAUCUGUGGUGCACCAGCCCAAACUACCAGGUUAACAGCUAUAACUCUCUGUUGUAAUUAUCCAUACAUUUAGGUGCAUCUGUACAGCCUGUCUUCUACUUUUAAAGCUAAGAUUUAUCUUCUGUGAUAUUAAACACAGUUUGCUGGUUAAAGGUAAUUCAGUUUCUCUCACAAAAAAAAUCUUACUUUUAUUGUUCAAUAAAUAUGGUGCUUGAUUUUCUCCUCUCACAGUAGAGAACAUAUGCUUUUUAAAGGCAUUUCUGUGUUGCCUUUUAUGAUUCCUUUGUUAUACACUAUAAGGAAUAUAGUUGUUUCCUUGAAGAGCUAACUUUAUACCUCCUGGAUCAGGCACAUGUUUUUCUCAGGCUUCUUCCUGUCAAUAUAAAUAAUAUGAUUUAAAAUAAAAUACAACAGAAUCCACCAAUCCAUAUGAGAUACAGUGAUUUACCAAUGAAGGUUAUACAAUGACUAUGUAGAGAGGAACUACUCAUAUUUGUUUGUUAUUCAGUCAAUGCACGUGAAGAUUUUUUAUAGUGUCCAAACACCAUCUUUUCCUGUUCCGGUUUAGGAACUAUCUCUUUGUGUUUUUUUAUCAAGUGUGCUAUCCCUGGCUAAUUUUAUAACUUUUACAAUAAGAAAAAUGUAGCAGUGCAGUCAUUACUUACAAUACCAUGGCUUUUGAAAACCUGUUAACUUAAAAUAACAUAGAUCUAUUUGCUAUUCAGUUUCCUAAUUCCACUUAUUUAAUGCUGUCGACACCAUUAUUCAUGAUGCUGCAUUAUUCAACACCUUCAUUAUUUGCAGCACUUCCUAUGAAUACUGACUUGCAGUGCAAAAGUUACUGCUGCACCUUUUUGAUGAUGACCACAAGAGCAAGUCUUACCCAGAGUAUGCAGUACAUAGGAAUAAUAAUUAAUUUUCUUAUUAUGGUAUACAUAUCCAGUAUUUUAUAGCAUAAAGAUAGGGAAAAAUAUUGCAAUUGUGCCUCCUUUUGAACUCUGCAGUUACUAUAUUCCUAUAUGGAAUGUGGUCUCUCUUAUUCCUGCCUUCCAUACAUUGAUACCUAUGGGAAGGAUAGGCAAGAGUCCCAUGCAAGAUUGAGAAAAGUGGUUGUAAUUAAGCAAGGGACGUCCAUCCCUCAUUUGACAAUGCAUAGGAACAACCUGAGAGAGCCAAAACAUAGGAGAGUCUUAAAA